rnacentral:tRNA from 1 species
GGGCCCGUGGUCUAGUGGUUAUGACAUCGCUCUCACACAGCGAAGGCCACCGGUUCAAAUCCGGUCGGGCCCAC